rnacentral:rRNA from 1 species
UACGAAGGGGGCUAGCGUUGCUCGGAAUCACUGGGCGUAAAGCGCACGUAGGCGGCUUUUUAAGUCAGGGGUGAAAUCCUGGAGCUCAACUCCAGAACUGCCUUUGAUACUGAGAAGCUUGAGUCCGGGAGAGGUGAGUGGAACUGCGAGUGUAGAGGUGAAAUUCGUAGAUAUUCGCAAGAACACCAGUGGCGAAGGCGGCCAACUGGUCCGGUACUGACGCUGAGGUGCGAAAGCGUGGGGAGCAAACAGG